UACGUAGGGGGCAAGCGUUGUCCGGAAUCAUUGGGCGUAAAGAGCGUGUAGGCGGCCAGAAAAGUCCGCUGUGAAAACUCGAGGCUCAACUUCGAGCUGUCGGUGGAAACUUUCUGGCUAGAGUCCGGAAGAGGAGAAUGGAAUUCCUGGUGUAGCGGUGAAAUGCGCAGAUAUCAGGAAGAACACCCGUGGCGAAGGCGGUUCUCUGGGAUGGUACUGACGCUGAGACGCGAAAGCGUGGGGAGCGAACAGG
rnacentral:rRNA from 1 species